rnacentral:rRNA from 1 species
UACGUAGGGGGCGAGCGUUGUCCGGAGUUACUGGGCGUAAAGCGCACGCAGGCGGUCUGCUAAGUUUGGAGUGACAGUUGGUGGCUUAACUGCCAAAGUGCUUCGAAAACUGACAGACUUGAGGGCUUCAGAGGGACACGGAAUUCCGGGUGGAGUGGUGAAAUGCGUAGAGAUCCGGAGGAACACCAAAGGCGAAGGCAGUGUCCUGGGGAGUACCUGACGCUCGAGGUGCGAAAGCCAGGGGAGCGAACGGGGA